ACCCAGGUGUCCCCUGCCAGACCUCAUUGAUGUAUUCCAGCAGGUGGCGGAAGCUGUACGAGCUGUCGAAGAGCCCAUGCACCACGAUGACCGGCUUGUAGGACGCGCGGUGGGGCCCGGGGGCUGCAAGCAGCAGCAGCGGCAGGAAAGGCAACAGAAGCAGGACCCACGCCGCGGGGAGCCGCUGCCCCCAGAGCCCCAGCAUGCUCCCGCCUGAGAAAGGGGUGAUAAGGGCAUGUGAGGGAGAUGGCAACACCCUCCUCCCUCGGAACAGACGCCCGGCAAUCAAGCCACCUCCUCUCGCUCCCACACCAGGUCCGUGUCACAAAAUAGCCUACUUUUAACUUACUCCAGCCCUCUCCCUACAAACACACCCCCCCACCACGUUGACGCACCAACGCGCACCCGAAGUCCCGCCCCCAACUCAGCGUUCGGGGGACUUGUUCUCUAGGUUCAGGAUCUUCCUAAUGCAUCGCCUCAGCAAUGAACAACGCGGAGUUCUUUAAUACCCGUGAGCAGCAGCCCAGGCCCCUUGAAGAGUGCAGACUCCCACCUGGCCUGGGUCCGUAGGCCUCGCUCCACCCGCUGUUUACUUAUCCCAAGUCUGGAACCCACGGUGGCGGGGGGAAGGGUGAGGAAAGAGAGCGCAGGGGAAUGACGGAUGGGAGGGGGAAGGGCGGGCUGCUUGGGGUCGCGCAAAUCCGUCACGUCCGGGGCUUUCUCUGGCAACCGCGCGAGCGUUCCCCGCAACACAGACCCAGGACAGGAGGGGCAAUGGAAUAUUCCAUUGCGCCCUAGGUGCUGGGGAGGAAACAGGCGGAGCGAUCCAUUUAGGCCAGUGGGGAGAGGAAAAAGCAGCAAACAUAUUCUGGGAAUGGAAAGAAGGCCUCUCCAGGCUUCGUUGCCCCCAGCGACCCAAAGGUCCGAUUUCCCCGCCUUGAUUCUCCCCACUUCUCAAUACAGGCGUCUGGCUCCGCAGCAGAACACGAACUUUGCAUUCCCCAAGGGGCGGCCAGGGGGCGGACCAGGGAAAGGUAGUCCUCUGCAUUUUGCCGUGUGCUGGAAUGGUGUAGAGUGACGAUGAGGUGGCGGUAAGGGGUUGAGCGCUCACGCGAACGCCUAAGUGACCAGAACGACUGGUGUGAAGCCGUGAUCUGACUCUGUGGAGCCUGGGACUGGUUUCAGCGAGAGCCUCUGUACUGCUCUGUAGUCUCUACUAGGACAUGGACGAAAAGGGACGCAGCCGGGAGAGCGACUGCCCCAGGUGGGGGCUGGGGGGACGUAAGGGAAGAAUAAUGAUUAUCUG
rnacentral:lncRNA from 1 species